rnacentral:piRNA from 1 species
GCCAUACUGUGCUUUGUUGUCCCUGGUC